rnacentral:rRNA from 1 species
AUUGAACGCUGGCGGCAGGCUUAACACAUGCAAGUCGAGCGAGCGGCGGACGGGUGAGUAAUGUCUGGGAAACUGCCUGAUGGAGGGGGAUAACUACUGGAAACGGUAGCUAAUACCGCAUACCAUCAGAUGUGCCCAGAUGGGAUUAGCUAGUGGGUGGGGUAAUGGCUCACCUAGGCGACGAUCCCUAGCCGGUCUGAGAGGAUGACCAGCCACACUGGAACGGAGACACGGCCCAGACUCCUACGGGAGGCAGCAGUGGGGAACAUUGCAAAAUGGGCGAAAGCCUGAUGAAGCCAGGCCGGGUGUGUGAAGAAGGCCUUCGGGUUGUAAAGCACGUUCAGCGAGGAGGCGUUACUCGCAGAGGAAGCACCGGCUAACUCCGUGCCAGCAGCCGCGGUAAUAC